UGAACGCUGGCGGCGUGCCUAAUACAUGCAAGUCGAGCGAACAGACGAGGAGCUUGCUCCUCUGACGUUAGCGGCGGACGGGUGAGUAACACGUGGAUAACCUACCUAUAAGACUGGGAUAACUUCGGGAAACCGGAGCUAAUACCGGAUAAUAUAUUGAACCGCAUGGUUCAAUAGUGAGAGACGGUUUUGCUGUCACUUAUAGAUGGAUCCGCGCCGCAUUAGCUAGUUGGUAAGGUAACGGCUUACCAAGGCAACGAUGCGUAGCCGACCUGAGAGGGUGAUCGGCCACACUGGAACUGAGACACGGUCCAGACUCCUACGGGAGGCAGCAGUAGGGAAUCUUCCGCAAAGGGCGAAAGCCUGACGGAGCAACGCCGCGUGAGUGAUGAAGGUCUUCGGAUCGUAAAACUCUGUUAUUAGCGAAGAACAAAUGUGUAAGUAACUAUGCACGUCUUGACGGUACCUAAUCAGAAAGCCACGGCUAACUACGUG
rnacentral:rRNA from 1 species